CUGCAAAUAAGCGAAGUCUCAUCUCCUCAUUUUAGUGGUGCGACUUUUAACCAUUGGUGCGCAAAGGAAAAGCUGUUUUUCAGCAGCGGCUAGACAACCGUAGAAAUGGAUCCACAGAUCAAUGAUUCAAAGUGUCAUUUGUCUACUGAUUCCAUCUCACAUUU
rnacentral:snoRNA from 1 species